CGGCCAUUACGUAUAGGAUUCCGGACCGUGGUCAAAUAUCGUAAAAUUCCGCCCGUUGCUGCAGCCAAUCAGAUUGCAGAAAACGCUAGAAUUCCGCCCGCUGCCGUGAUUUACAAAAAAAUAAAGUAAUUUAUUUAAUCUUGAGUUUUAGCAAAGCCAAUUUUCGUGUGAUAUACAUUUGAGCAGUACAUCAUGAGCAUCAAACACAGUACCGACAAUUACAGAAAUAUAACUGAUAAUGAUUUCAGUUUUUUCUCCAAGUUUCUUUUGUAAGAGUUAUAUACUUGU